UGGGGAAUAUUGGACAAUGGGCGGAAGCCUGAUCCAGCCAUGCCGCGUGUGUGAAGAAGGCCUUUUGGUUGUAAAGCACUUUAAGCGAGGAGGAGGCUCUUCUAGUUAAUACCUAGGAUGAGUGGACGCUACUCGCAGAAUAAGCACCGGCUAACUCUGUGCCAGCAGCCGCGGUAAUACAGAGGGUGCGAGCGUUAAUCGGGUUUACUGGGCGUAAAGCGUGCGUAGGCGGCUGAGUAAGUCGGAUGUGAAAUCCCUGAGCUUAACUUAGGAGUUGCAUUCGAUACUGGUCAGCUAGAGUAUGGGAGAGGAUGGUAGGAUUCCAGGUGUAGCGGUGAGAUGCGUGGAUAUAGGAAGGAAGACCAGUGGCGAAGGCGACCACCUGGGCUCAUACUGACACUGAGGUGCGAAAGCGUGGGGAGCAAACAGG
rnacentral:rRNA from 1 species